CCGUCGAUAGCUCAGUUGGUAGAGCGGGAGACUGUAGAUCUCUAGGUCGCUGGUUCGAAUCCGGCUCGACGGA
rnacentral:tRNA from 1 species